rnacentral:rRNA from 1 species
GUUAUAGGGACAAGCGAAUAAGUGCACAUGGUGGAUGCCUUGGCGAUUACAGGCGAUGAAGGACGUAGUAGCUUGCGAUAAGCUGCGGGGAGUGAGCAAACACACUUUGAUCCGCAGAUUUCCGAAUGGGGCAACCCACCCUUUUAGGGUAUUGCAUACUGAAUACAUAGGUAUGCAAGGCGAACGCGGCGAACUGAAACAUCUAAGUAGCUGCAGGAAAAGAAAUCAACCGAGAUUCCCAAAGUAGCGGCGAGCGAAAUGGGAAGAGCCUGUACGUGAUAGUCGGACCGAUAACAGAAUCCUCUGGAAAUAGGAGCCAUAGCGGGUGAUAGCCCCGUAUGUGAAAUCGGACCGGUGGUACUAAGCGUACGACAAGUAGGGCGGGACACGUGACAUCCUGUCUGAAUAUGGGGGGACCAUCCUCCAAGGCUAAAUACUCGUAAUCGACCGAUAGUGAACCAGUACCGUGAGGGAAAGGCGAAAAGAACCCCGGAAGGGGAGUGAAAUAGAUCCUGAAACCGUGUGCAUACAAACAGUAGGAGCGGACUUGUUCCGUGACUGCGUACCUUUUGUAUAAUGGGUCAGCGACUUACAUUCAGUGGCAAGGUUAACCGAAUAGGGAAGCCGUAGAGAAAUCGAGUCCGAAUAGGGCGAUCAGUCGCUGGGUGUAGACCCGAAACCAAGUGAUCUACUCAUGGCCAGGAUGAAGGUGCGGUAACACGCCCUGGAGGUCCGAACCCACUAAUGUUGAAAAAUUAGGGGAUGAGCUGUGGGUAGGGGUGAAAGGCUAAACAAACUUGGAAAUAGCUGGUUCUCUCCGAAAACUAUUUAGGUAGUGCCUCAAGUAUCACCAUCGGGGGUAGAGCACUGUUAUGGCUAGGGGGUCAUUGCGACUUACCAAACCAUUGCAAACUCCGAAUACCGAUGAGUGCGAGCUUGGGAGACAGACGUCGGGUGCUAACGUCCGGCGUCAAGAGGGAAACAACCCAGACCGCCAGCUAAGGUCCCAAAGAUUGGCUAAGUGGAAAACGAAGUGGGAAGGCUAAAACAGUCAGGAUGUUGGCUUAGAAGCAGCCAUCAUUUAAAGAAAGCGUAAUAGCUCACUGAUCGAGUCGUCCUGCGCGGAAGAUGUAACGGGGCUAAGCCAGUCACCGAAGCUGCGGAUAU